rnacentral:lncRNA from 1 species
CGCGACGCCAUCCCCCAGAUAGUCACCCCUCUGGAUCGGGUGGAAAUGCAACAACACUACUGGAUUCUGAUCGGGAAAUCCAGGAGAGUGAAUGAUGUGAUUGGUGAUGACGAUGUGGGUGCAGAGCUGUGGAGGAGCAGAGGGAAGGAAACACCUCCCAGAAGACUUGACAUCUGAACCAUCAUGAAAGACGGGCAGAGUCGGACCUCAGGCAACUUCCAUUCCUUCAUUCAACAAGUAUUUACCACCUCUGUCACUGUGCUGAAGACACGGAGAAAUAGCACACCCAACCUGGACUCACAAGGGAAAACAGAUGUAAACCAGGAACCACAAUAAAGUGCUAUCAGGAUAAGAAGAAUCAAAAGAAAUUGUCUGGAAGAUGAUAGGCAAGGGAGGGAUGGGCUUUCCUGGCAGAAGGUACCUAUGUGUACCCAGGUUUGGAGAUGAAAAAAUAGUUUUGAGUUCCAGAAAUGAUGGAACUGUGGUUGGAACUGUCAGAUUUAUUGUCAUUGCAUGACAUACUCAGAAACUUAGCCUAUUCUCUAUGAAAAUCCAAUGGAAGUUUAAGGUAGCAAUAACAGUAAUAACAGCAACUGUAAAAAUAAUAGUUAAUACUUACUGAACACUUCCUGUGUGCUAGGCAUUGUCCAAGCAUUUUACAUGUGUUAGCUCAUUUUAUUCUCGUAUUAACUCUAUAGCAUAGGUAGUAUUAUCAGUCCCAUUUUACAAAUAAGAAGAUUGGGGCAUAGAAAGGAUAAAUAAAACACUCAAUGUUAAUUAUCCAUUGAUUACAUUCAGAGGUGUGCUGGUAAACUGGCUCUCCAGGAAAAGAAAAAUCCUGAUUUGUGACAUUUACUAAUUUCUAUGAUGUAAACUCUCCCACAAUGGCCAGUAUUAGGGUACUUAGAUGAUGUCACUGAACACAAUAAAGAGCUAACAAUUAGCUUGCAUGAGCUGAUCGAAGCCAGCUCCAGGGCAGUACUAUUCAUGGAAGACACAGAGAUGCACCACCCAGAGCCCCCUUGGAGGAAGGACUUGCAGGGCUCCAGGGAGUGUAGUCAGAAGAGUCUCCAACAGUUAGCUCCUUAGGGUCUGUCCUGCAGCAGAGAGCACUUACCUGAGGCCAUUUAAAAACUUCC